AAAGUACUCCCUCCGUCCCAAAAUUCUUGUCUUAGAUUAGUCUAGAUACAGAUGUAUCAAGUCACAUUUUAGUAUUAGAUACAUCCGUAUCUAGACAAAUCUAAGACAAGAAAUUUGGGACAGAGGGAGUAGUUG
rnacentral:pre_miRNA from 1 species